rnacentral:rRNA from 1 species
UACGUAGGCCCCGAACGUUGUCCGGAUUUAUUGGGCGUAAAGCAAGCGCAGGUGGUUUAUUAAGUCUGGUGUAAAAGGCAGUGGCUCAACCAUUGUAUGCAUUGGAAACUGGUAGACUUGAGUGCAGGAGAGGAGAGUGGAAUUCCAUGUGUAGCGGUGAAAUGCGUAGAUAUAUGGAGGAACACCGGUGGCGAAAGCGGCUCUCUGGCCUGUAACUGACACUGAGGCUCGAAAGCGUGGGGAGCAAACAGG